rnacentral:rRNA from 1 species
GCCUACGGCCAUACUGGACCAAAUGCACCUGAUCCUGUCCGAUCUUGGAAGGUAAACCAUCCCGAUGGGACUAGUCUGGUGCCUUUCCCUGCAGGGGUGGGCA